rnacentral:rRNA from 1 species
CAGCCGCCGCGGUAAUACGAGGGGGGCAAGCGUUGUUCGGAAUUAUUGGGCGUAAAGGGUGCGUAGGCGGUUUGGCAAGUUUGGUGUGAAAUCUUCGGGCUCAACUCGAAGUCUGCAUCGAAAACUGCCGGGCUUGAGUAUGGGAGAGGUGAGUGGAAUUUCCGGUGUAGCGGUGAAAUGCGUAGAUAUCGGAAGGAACACCUGUGGCGAAAGCGGCUCACUGGACCAUAACUGACGCUGAUGCACGAAAGCGUGGGGAGCAAACAGGAUUAGAUACCCCCGUAGUCCCUGUCUCUUAUAC